rnacentral:lncRNA from 1 species
UCUCUGACAUUCUCAUUGGUUCUGUGCUGGGUCCACCUCUUUUGUAUUUCUGGGGUUCAAUCCCAGGUAGCCGGCUCAAGGUUGACUCAGCCUUCUAUCCUUCCGAGGUCGGUAAAAUGAGUACCCAGCUUGCUGGGGGGGGGGCAAUGGGUAGCUGAGGAAAGGAAGGAUGAAGAAAAAAGCAUCUCUGACAUUCUCAUUGGUUCUGUGCUCGGUCCACCCCUUUUGUGUUUCGUUCAGCCUGGGUUCCAGCCCUUUAGCUGCAAAUGCCAAAGGAAAGAUUUCUACAGUGGGAGAAGCAAAUUUUUGUAAGCUCUAAAUUUUGGUGCCCAGUCAGUCUUCCCUAGUCCUGGCUCUCGUCACUGUUGGGAAGGAACUGCCUUAUACAGGACAAUGAUUGGCUUAAUGUCCCUAGAAGAUGACCAUUGGGCUAAGAUGGCCUAGCCAUCUUCUCUCAGGUACUGGCGGGGUGACAUUUCUGGAGCUGCACGCCUGCAUUGCGAGAUGCCGUAGCCGAAAGUUGGUGGAACCCGAACCCAACGUGUGCGAGGCCACUUUUUUCCCCUCCCUCUUUCUACUACUGCUCUUUUCGCUUUCUGAUACUUCUCCCUUUCUCACAAAUUUUCGUCCUCCUUGUGCACUGGGCUGUCAGGAGAGAGCCUUAAGUACCAGGUUCUUUCAAGUCUGAAGCCUUAUCAAGCCUUGAAUGCAACAAUUAUUGAAGUGGUGGCCCUCAACUCACAACAUGGGAGACAUCCCCAGAGAACUGGGGUGGCAGAAUGGACUUUUGUGGAUCCAUGGCUUGCUUAAUAGCCGACUCCGCCCUUCCUCAACCCAAAGGAUUUGGGAAAAGCAAGCAAGCUGGCUCCCGAAGACGAAAGCCGUCAAAUGUGUUGUUCGUACAGAACCUGUUGAAAGCUUUGUGAAGACCUCAGAGAAGAUAACCGAAGUGUUAUUGCAGAAGUUUAAAACAGGAGCUGAUAUUUUUGAAAUCUUUUCUUUUUCUUCAACGACAACAACAGUAAGAUGGGUGAUUAUGGUGAUCAGUGUCUUCACCCACAACAAAAACCUUUUAGAUUUUGCCACCCAGAAUUCUUCAGUCAACGCAGCCAGCAUCCAUGACGGAUGGGAGGCUUUGGACGUAAUUCAAAGUUAUGCCAAGGGUUAACCCCAUGUACUUACGGAAACUUUGCACCCAUUCCUAGUCUGAUACUCUAACCAUUAUUUCAAUCUUCUUAAAACUAGAGAAAAGUAACAAAAGCAUCACAUGAAAAACAAAAGCCACGGAUGUUGAAAAGAAGGACGCUACUGAAGUGUUGUUCC